GUUCAAAUGGUGUAGUGGUAGCACGCGAGUUUCCAAAACUUAGGGUAGGGGUUCGAUUCCCUUUUUGAAUG
rnacentral:tRNA from 1 species